GUCCAGCGCUGGACACACUUGAGCAAGUGAUCAGCCAGCUGCAUAAGUUCAUGAGGUCCUUCUUCCUCUAAGGGGACUGGGAGCAGAAUGGGUCCCUAAAGUUGUUUCCUAUUCCCCAACCCCAGGUCUGCCGGGUUUCUGUUUGUGACUAAAAGGCUCAGGGGUCACUCUAGUUAAACUGGGCUAACUGGGCUGUGCAAAAUAACCACACAAGAGACACAAAUACCUUUUUCUCUGGGGUCACUGUGAUGGCUCCUCUGACCUUAAGGGUCCGCAGAAAGAGAGAGAGAGAGAGCACGCGCUGACCCCUUUUAUUGAGGAGAAGCUGUUCAAAUGAGGCAAGGGGUCAGGUUUCAGGGGGCUGAGUCUAUCUUCAUGAUGUCCACUGUCAGCAGGUUGACUGACACCUGGGUAGGCCACACCCAAGGGCACAGUAAGAGAAGGGGACACACACAAGGCACUUCCAUGGAAGAUUCUACCCUAAACAGGGCAAGGGGUUACAUUACAAAGGAACAGGUGAGCCUAGCUCCACUCUUGGGGCUGUAGGAAGACACAGUCACUCGAACCCUAGAAAGGUGGGGCAGUCUAGCAGCAUGGGUGCCUGAUGUCACAUGGCCCAGCAGGGGAGUUAACUCAGUUAUAUGCGAGGUUGGUCUCCCACACAGGUCCAGAACCAAGUCUGCUCAAGGGUUCUCCAGUCUAUUGAUUGCUAAAGAUGGGUGCGAUCAGGAG
rnacentral:lncRNA from 1 species